GACGAACGCUGGCGGCGUGCUUAACACAUGCAAGUCGAACGGAAAGGCCCUGCUUUUGUGGGGUGCUCGAGUGGCGAACGGGUGAGUAACACGUGAGUAACCUGCCCUUGACUUUGGGAUAACUUCAGGAAACUGGGGCUAAUACCGGAUAGGAGCUCCUGCUGCAUGGUGGGGGUUGGAAAGUUUCGGCGGUUGGGGAUGGACUCGCGGCUUAUCAGCUUGUUGGUGGGGUAGUGGCUUACCAAGGCUUUGACGGGUAGCCGGCCUGAGAGGGUGACCGGCCACAUUGGGACUGAGAUACGGCCCAGACUCCUACGGGAGGCAGCAGUGGGGAAUAUUGCACAAUGGGCGGAAGCCUGAUGCAGCAACGCCGCGUGCGGGAUGACGGCCUUCGGGUUGUAAACCGCUUUCGCCUGUGACGAAGCGUGAGUGACGGUAAUGGGUAAAGAAGCACCGGCUAACUACGUGCCAGCAGCCGCGGUGAUACGUAGGGUGCGAGCGUUGUCCGGAUUUAUUGGGCGUAAAGGGCUCGUAGGUGGUUGAUCGCGUCGGAAGUGUAAUCUUGGGGCUUAACCCUGAGCGUGCUUUCGAUACGGGUUGACUUGAGGAAGGUAGGGGAGAAUGGAAUUCCUGGUGGAGCGGUGGAAUGCGCAGAUAUCAGGAGGAACACCAGUGGCGAAGGCGGUUCUCUGGGCCUUUCCUGACGCUGAGGAGCGAAAGCGUGGGGAGCGAACAGGCUUAGAUACCCUGGUAGUCCACGCUGUAAACGGUGGGUACUAGGUGUGGGGUCCAUUCCACGGGUUCCGUGCCGUAGCUAACGCUUUAAGUACCCCGCCUGGGGAGUACGACCGCAGGGCUAAAACUCAAAGGAAUUGACGGGGCCCCGCACAAGCGGCGGAGCAUGCGGAUUAAUUCGAUGCAACGCGUAGAACCUUACCUGGGUUUGACAUGGAUCGGGAGUGCUCAGAGAUGGGUGUGCCUCUUUUGGGGUCGGUUCACAGGUGGUGCAUGGCUGUCGUCAGCUCGUGUCGUGAGAUGUUGGGUUAAGUCCCGCAACGAGCGCAACCCUUGUUCACUGUUGCCAGCACGUUAUGGUGGGGACUCAGUGGAGACCGCCGGGGUCAACUCGGAGGAAGGUGGAGAUGACGUCAAGUCAUCAUGCCCCUUAUGUCCAGGGCUUCACGCAUGCUACAAUGGCUGGUACAGAGAGUGGCGAGCCUGUGAGGGUGAGCGAAUCUCGGAAAGCCGGUCUCAGUUCGGAUUGGGGUCUGCAACUCGACCUCAUGAAGUCGGAGUCGCUAGUAAUCGCAGAUCAGCAACGCUGCGGUGAAUACGUUCCCGGGGCU
rnacentral:rRNA from 1 species